AUGCAUUGGGUAUCCUGGCAAAAUUUUGCGACACCAAAAUGCAAGGGAGGACUGGGAUUCCGAGAUUUGCAUCAGUUUAACCUUGCACUACUUGGAAAACACGGAUGGCGUUUUAUGACAAAGCCGGAUUCCUUGUGUGCAAGAGUGAUGAAAGGUAGAUAUUUCCCUGACACCGACUUCAUGCAAGCAACAUGUCCCCGAUCAGCGUCUGCUACUUGGCGGACAAUUAUUGCAGGAAGAGAAACACUUGAUGCUGGUCUUAUAAAAUGA
rnacentral:rRNA from 1 species